GACGGAGCAACGCCGCGUGAGUGACGAAGGCCUUCGGGUCGUAAAGCUCUGUUGUUAGGGAAGAACAAGUACCGUUCGAAUAGGGCGGUACCUUGACGGUACCUAACCAGAAAGCCACGGCUAACUACGUGCCAGCAGCCGCGGUAAUACGUAGGUGGCAAGCGUUGUCCGGAAUUAUUGGGCGUAAAGCGCGCGCAGGCGGUCUCUUAAGUCUGAUGUGAAAGCCCACGGCUCAACCGUGGAGGGCCAUUGGAAACUGGGGGACUUGAGUGCAGAAGAGGAGAGUGGAAUUCCACGUGUAGCGGUGAAAUGCGUAGAUAUGUGGAGGAACACCAGUGGCGAAGGCGGCUCUCUGGUCUGUAACUGACGCUGAGGCGCGAAAGCGUGGGGAGCAAACAGGAUUAGAUACCCUGGUAGUCCACGCCGUAAACGAUGAGUGCUAGGUGUUGGGGGGUUCCACCCUCAGUGCUGAAGUUAACACAUUAAGCACUCCGCCUGGGGAGUACGACCGCAAGGUUGAAACUCAAAGGAAUUGACGGGGGCCCGCACAAGCAGUGGAGCAUGUGGUUUAAUUCGAAGCAACGCGAAGAACCUUACCAGGUCUUGACAUCCUCUGCCACUCCUAGAGAUAGGACGUUCCCCUUCGGGGGACAGAGUGACAGGUGGUGCAUGGUUGUCGUCAGCUCGUGUCGUGAGAUGUUGGGUUAAGUCCCGCAACGAGCGCAACCCUUGAUCUUAGUUGCCAGCAUUCAGUUGGGCACUCUAAGGUGACUGCCGGUGACAAACCGGAGGAAGGUGGG
rnacentral:rRNA from 1 species